GCCAGGCACGGUGGCUCACACCUGUAAUCCCAGCAGCUCAGGAGGCUGAGGCAGGAGGAUUGCAAGUUCAAAGCUAGUCUCAGCAAAGGCGAGGCACUAAGCAACUCAGUGAGACCCUGUCUCUA
rnacentral:sRNA from 1 species